rnacentral:rRNA from 1 species
UGGAAUGAGUUAAGUAUAAACCCCUUUACAAGUAUCAAUUGGAGGGCAAGUCUGGUGCCAGCAGCCGCGGUAAUUCCAGCUCCAAUAGCGUAUAUUAAAGUUGUUGCAGUUAAAAAGCUCGUAGUUGGAUUUCUGUUAAUAAUUUAUAUAUAAUAUUUGAUUAAUAUUUAUAUAAUAUUAACAUAAUUCAUAUUACUAAAUUUAUUAGUAUAUGAAAUUUUACUUUGAGAAAAUUAGAGUGCUUAAAGCAGGCAUAUGCCUUGAAUACUCCAGCAUGGAAUAAUAUUAAAGAUUUUUAUCUUUCUUAUUGGUUCUAAGAUAAAAAUAAUGAUUAAUAGGGACAGUUGGGGGCAUUUGUAUUUAACAGUCAGAGGUGAAAUUCUUAGAUUUGUUAAAGACAAACUAAUGCGAAAGCAUUUGCCAAGGAUGUUUUCAUUAAUCAAGAACGAAAGUUAGGGGAUCGAAGACGAUCAGAUACCGUCGUAGUCUUAACCAU